rnacentral:rRNA from 1 species
UACGGGGGGGGCAAGCGUUGUUCGGAAUUACUGGGCGUAAAGGGCUCGUAGGCGGCCAACUAAGUCGGACGUGAAAUCCCUCGGCUUAACCGGGGAACUGCGUCCGAUACUGGAUGGCUUGAGUUUGGGAGAGGGAUGCGGAAUUCCAGGUGUAGCGGUGAAAUGCGUAGAUAUCUGGAGGAAUACCGGUGGCGAAGGCGGCCUUCUGGACGGUGACUGACGCUGAGACGCGAAAGCGUGGGGAGCAAACAGG